UACGAAGGGGGCUAGCGUUGUUCGGAAUCACUGGGCGUAAAGGGCGCGUAGGCGGCCGAUCAAGUCGGGGGUGAAAGCCUGUGGCUCAACCAUAGAAUUGCCUUCGAUACUGGUUGGCUUGAGACCGGAAGAGGUAAGUGGGAACUGCGAGUGUAGAGGUGAAAUUCGAUAGAUAUUCGCAAGAACACCAGUGGCGAAGGCGGCUUACUGGUCCGGUUCUGACGCUGAGGCACGAAAGCGUGGGGAGCGAACAGG
rnacentral:rRNA from 1 species